AUUGAACGCUGGCGGCAGGCCUAACACAUGCAAGUCGAACGAGUGGCGGACGGGUGAGUAAUGUCUGGGAAACUGCCCGAUGGAGGGGGAUAACUACUGGAAACGGUAGCUAAUACCGCAUACCAUCGGAUGUGCCCAGAUGGGAUGAGCUGGUAGGUGAGGUAUCGGCUAACCUAGGCGACGAUCCCUAGCUGGUCUGAGAGGAUGAACAGCCACAUUGGAACUGAGACACGGUCCAGCACCCGACGGGAGGCAGCAGUGGGGAAUAUUGCACAAUGGGCGCAAGCCUGAUGCAGCCAUGCCGCGGGUAUGAAGAAGGCCUUCGGGUUGUAAAGUACUUUCAGCUGGGAUGCGUUACCCGCAGAAGAAGCACCGGCUAACUCCGUGCCAGCAGCCGCGGUAAUAC
rnacentral:rRNA from 1 species